ACUGCAGGCCUUUCUCUUCCCUGAUAUCUUUGAGUCAAGGCGCCGUGUUGACCAAGGGUGUCAGAUAAAGGACUACAAAAGCAUUGUCUGAAUUGCCCAGGGAGGAUGUGGCCAACAUUCCUAGUGUGUUUGCAAAUAUGGCUGAGAGACUAGGUGCAAAGUGAGGGAUGCUGGCAAGGCACGCUCAUAUUUGGAGACGGUAGUUCCCUCCUGCCACAGGUACUUCUGACGAAUCGCUCCAACACAGUAGUACCUACACUUUCACACUUAACUGCAGAGGAAGAAUCCUACACUCAAAACUGCACACAGUGAGUCCUAUCCAGAGAUUAAAAAAAAAAUCUAUCAGGAAACUUGACAAGACCUCGUCUGUUUCAGUUUAUGGGAAUGGCUGCCUCUCACAGGAGAGAAUCUGGUGGGAAGGACGAGAAACAAAAUACGCUGAAAUUCAAGAACUGGGCCUGAGUAACUAUCCGUGUGACUCACCAAAGCUGAGCCACUUCCACCCGGUGAGCCGGGCCGGUGGUGUGGUGCCCUGCAGCCUUGGUACAGCUGGCUUGACCCCCUUCACCGGGGAAAGCAGGAAGGACCGUCCCCUCUCAGCUCCCCUGAUGGCACUCUGGGUUUUUCUGACUCUGUAAAAGACAAUCAAAUAAAAAUGCUAUCUUCCCGUAAUCAGAAAAUAUUCUCCAUUUGGACUUUUCCCAGGACCUUAAAUUUAAACUGUUGAAAUUCUUUAUUUCAUGCUUCCCU